GCACAAGCGGUGGAGUAUGUGGUUUAAUUCGAUGCAACGCGAAGAACCUUACCUAGGUUUGACAUCCGGAAGACCUUCCCGAAAAGGAAGGGUGCCCUUCGGGGAAUUCCGAGACAGGUGCUGCAUGGCUGUCGUCAGCUCGUGCCGUGAGGUGUUGGGUUAAGUCCCGCAACGAGCGCAACCCUAUUGCCAGUUGCUACCAGGUAAUGCUGGGCACUCUGGUGAGACUGCCCCGGUUAACGGGGAGGAAGGUGGGGACGACGUCAAGUCAUCAUGGCCCUUACGCCUAGGGCUACACACGUACUACAAUGGCGCAUACAAAGGGCAGCGAUACCGCGAGGUGGAGCCAAUCCCAAAAAGUGCGUCCCAGUCCGGAUUGCAGUCUGCAACUCGACUGCAUGAAGUUGGAAUCGCUAGUAAUUCGAGAUCAGCAUGCUCGGGUGAAUGCGUUCCCGGGCCUU
rnacentral:rRNA from 1 species